CAGCCUCACCUGUGGGUGUGUCUCUGUCUAAAAUCCCAAUUUUAUCCCAAAAUUCCGGCUCCAAAUUCCCUUUUCUGGGAUCGAGCCUCACCUGUCUGACCUGUGGGCGUGUCCCUGGGUGUGUCCAGGGAAUAAAAUCCCAAUUUUAUCCCAAAAUUCCGGCUCCAAAUUCCCUUUUUGGGGCUCCAGCCUCACCUGUGGGUGUGUCCCUGGCUAAAAUCCCAAUUUUAUCCCCAAAUUCCCUUUUUGGGGUUGGGGCCUCACCUGUGGGCGUGUCCCUGGGCGUGUCCAGGGAAUAAAAUCCCAAUUUUAUCCCAAAA